rfam:Blumeria graminis f. sp. hordei DH14, WGS project CATH01000000 data, contig: 013787
GCUGGAUAAUGGCUGAACGCCUCUAAGUCAGAAUCCAUGCCAGAACGCGGCGAUUUCCUCCCACACAUCGUAGUCGGAUACGAAUAGGCCUAUGGCCCUGAAUCUUAGCUAGUUGGCAAUGGGACAGCGGGAGAAGUCCACUGUCUCAGCUGACGCCUUGCAAUUUUACCAUGCGUGGGGAUAAAACCUUUGCAUACGACUUAGUUAUAUCAGACGGUGCUGUAAAUAGUAGAGUAGUCUUGUUAUUACGAUCUAUUGAGGCUAAGCCGCGCUGAUUUAGUUUUGU